GACGAACGCUGGCGGCGUGCUUAACACAUGCAAGUCGAACGAAGAGCGAUGGAAGCUUGCUUCUAUCAAUCUUAGUGGCGAACGGGUGAGUAACGCGUAAUCAACCUGCCCUUCAGAGGGGGACAACAGUUGGAAACGACUGCUAAUACCGCAUACGAUCUAACCUCGGCAUCGAGGAAAGAUGAAAGGUGGCCUCUAUUUAUAAGCUAUCACUGAAGGAGGGGAUUGUGUCUGAUUAGCUAGUUGGAGGGGUAACGGCCCACCAAGGCGAUGAUCAGUAGCCGGUCUGAGAGGAUGAACGGCCACAUUGGGACUGAGACACGGCCCAGACUCCUACGGGAGGCAGCAGUGGGGAAUCUUCCGCAAUGGACGAAAGUCUGACGGAGCAACGCCGCGUGAGUGAUGACGGCCUUCGGGUUGUAAAGCUCUGUUAAUCGGGACGAAAGGCCUUCUUGCGAACAGUUAAAAGGAUUGACGGUACCGGAAUAGAAAGCCACGGCUAACUACGUGCCAGCAGCCGCGGUAAUACGUAGGUGGCAAGCGUUGUCCGGAAUUAUUGGGCGUAAAGAGCUCGUAGGCGGCUGGUCGCGUCUGUCGUGAAAUCCUCUGGCCUAACUGGGGGCGUGCGGUGGGUACGGGCCGGCUUGAGUGCGGUAGGGGAGGCUGGAAUUCCUGGUGUAGCGGUGAAAUGCGUAGAUAUUAGGAAGAACACCAGUGGCGAAGGCGACUUUCUGGACGAAAACUGACGCUGAGGCGCGAAAGCCAGGGGAGCGAACGGGAUUAGAUACCCCGGUAGUCCUGGCCGUAAACGAUGGGGUACUAGGUGUAGGGAGGUAUCGACCCCUUCUGUGCCGGAGUUAACCCAAUAAAGUACCCCGCCCUGGGGAGUACAACCGCAAGGUUGAAAACUCAAGGAAUUGACGGGGGCCCGCACAAGC
rnacentral:rRNA from 1 species